UUCAUAUUUUUAACCAGGUUUUCCGAAGGAAAAAACUGGUUAUUAGAUUGGCGAAUGCGGGCGGGCUGGCUGGCUGGCGGGCUGGCGGAAUAAGCUUGUCCGGGCCAUAACUAUGUCGUUCAUUGUCAGAUUUUAAAAUCAUUUGGCACAUUUGUUCACCAUCAUUGGACGGUGUGUCGCGCGAAAUAAUUACGUUGAUAUCUCCAAGGUCAAGGUCACACUUUGAGUUCAAAGGUCAAAAAUGGCCAUAAAUGAGCUUGUCCUGGCCAUAACUAUGUCAUUCAUUGUGAGAUUUUAAAAUCAUUUGGCACAUUUGUUCACCAUCAUGGGACGGUGUGUCCCACGAAAGAAUCACGUCAAUAUCUCCAAUGUCAAGGUCGCCACGACUAAAAAUAGAUUUAAAAAAAAAAAAAAAAUACAAAGGGGGUUAAUUUUUUUUGGUCAUUUCAAAA